UAGGGAAUCUUCGGCAAUGGACGGAAGUCUGACCGAGCAACGCCGCGUGAGUGAAGAAGGUUUUCGGAUCGUAAAGCUCUGUUGUUAGAGAAGAACGUUGGUAGGAGUGGAAAAUCUACCAAGUGACGGUAACUAACCAGAAAGGGACGGCUAACUACGUGCCAGCAGCCGCGGUAAUACGUAGGUCCCGAGCGUUGUCCGGAUUUAUUGGGCGUAAAGCGAGCGCAGGCGGUUCUUUAAGUCUGAAGUUAAAGGCAGUGGCUUAACCAUUGUACGCUUUGGAAACUGGAGGACUUGAGUGCAGAAGGGGGGGGUGGAAUUCCAUGUGUAGCGGUGAAGUGCGUAGAUAUAUGGAGGAACACCGGUGGCGAAAGCGGCUCUCUGGUCUGUAACUGACGCUGAGGCUCGAAAGCGUGGGGAGCAAACAGG
rnacentral:rRNA from 1 species